rnacentral:rRNA from 1 species
AACGAACGCUGGCGGCAGGCCUAACACAUGCAAGUCGAACGCUGUAGCAAUACAGAGUGGCAGACGGGUGAGUAACGCGUGGGAACCUUCCCAAUGGUGCGGAAUAGCCCAGGGAAACUUGGGGUAAUACCGCAUAAGCCCUUAGGGGGAAAGAUUUAUCGCCAUUGGAUGGGCCCGCGUCGGAUUAGCUAGUUGGUGAGGUAAUGGCUCACCAAGGCAACGAUCCGUAGCUGGUUUGAGAGAAUGACCAGCCACACUGGGACUGAGACACGGCCCAGACUCCUACGGGAGGCAGCAGUGGGGAAUCUUGGACAAUGGGCGCAAGCCUGAUCCAGCCAUGCCGCGUGAGUGACGAAGGCCUUAGGGUUGUAAAGCUCUUUUGCCGGGGACGAUAAUGACGGUACCAGGAGAAUAAGUCCCGGCUAACUUCGUGC